UGUCCUUUUAAGGAGGGGACGACACAGAGACACACAGGGGAGAAAGCCACGUGAGAAGAGAGGCAAAGAUGGGAGUUAUAUAGCUCCAAGACCACAAAUGUCUGGAACCACAAGUGGCUGCAAGAGGCAAGGUCUCCAUUCUAAAAGCAAACCCUUGGGGGACCUCAGUGGCUCUGUCGGUUAAGCAUCUAUCUUCUGCUCCGGUUGUGAUCAUGGGGUGCUGGGAUGAAGGCUGGCAUCGGGCUCCCUGCUCAGCGGGGAGUCUGCUCUCACUCCCUCUGUCCUUGCCCUCCAACUCAUGCUUUCUCUCUCUCUCAAAUAAAUAAAUGAAAUCCUUUAAAAAUAAAAAUAAAUGAAGGCAAAUCCUUA